UACGUAGGGAGCAAGCGUUGUUCGGAUUUACUGGGCGUAAAGGGCGCGUAGGCGGCGCGGUAAGUCACUUGUGAAAUCUCUGAGCUUAACUCAGAACGGCCAAGUGAUACUGCAGUGCUAGAGUGCAGAAGGGGCAAUCGGAAUUCUUGGUGUAGCGGUGAAAUGCGUAGAUAUCAAGAGGAACACCCUGAGGUGAAGACGGGUUGCUAGGGCUGA
rnacentral:rRNA from 1 species